rnacentral:rRNA from 1 species
GAUGAACGCUGGCGGCGUGCCUAAUACAUGCAAGUAGAACGCUGAAGCUUGGUGCUUGCACCGAGCGGAUGAGUUGCGAACGGGUGAGUAACGCGUAGGUAACCUGCCUCUUAGCGGGGGAUAACUAUUGGAAACGAUAGCUAAUACCGCAUAAAAGACGAUAUCGCAUGAUAUUGAUUUGAAAGGUGCAAUUGCAUCACUAAGAGAUGGACCUGCGUUGUAUUAGCUAGUUGGUGAGGUAACGGCUCACCAAGGCGACGAUACAUAGCCGACCUGAGAGGGUGAUCGGCCACACUGGGACUGAGACACGGCCCAGACUCCUACGGGAGGCAGCAGUAGGGAAUCUUCGGCAAUGGGGGCAACCCUGACCGAGCAACGCCGCGUGAGUGAAGAAGGUUUUCGGAUCGUAAAGCUCUGUUGUAAGAGAAGAACGAGUGUGAGAGUGGAAAGUUCACACUGUGACGGUAACUUACCAG